GGACGGACGAACCUCUGGUGUGCCAGUUGUUCCGCCAGGAGCAUGGCUGGUUGGCUACGUUCGGGAUGGAUAACCGCUGAAAGCAUCUAAGCGGGAAGCCGGCUCCGAGAUGAGAUUUCCAACUGACUUUUGUCAGGGGAGGUGUCCUAUAGAUGAUGGGGUUGAUAGGCCGGGUAUGGAAGCACUGUAAGGUGUGGAGUUGACUGGUACUAAUACACCGAUCACUCACCAAC
rnacentral:rRNA from 1 species